rnacentral:rRNA from 1 species
UACGUAGGCAGCGAGCGUUGUUCGGAGUUACUGGGCGUAAAGGGUGUGUAGGCGGUUGUUUAAGUUUGGUGUGAAAUCUCCCGGCUCAACUGGGAGGGUGCGCCGAAUACUGAAUGACUUGGAGUGCGGGAGAGGAAAGUGGAAUUCCUGGUGUAGCGGUGAAAUGCGUAGAUAUCAGGAGGAACACCGGUGGUGUGGACGGCUUCUGGACCGUAACUGACGCUGAGACACGAAAGCGUGGGUAGCAAACAGG